UGGGGAAUAUUGGACAAUGGGGGCAACCCUGAUCCAGCAAUGCCGCGUGAGUGAUGAAGGCCUUAGGGUUGUAAAGCUCUUUUGGCGGGGACGAUGAUGACGGUACCCGCAGAAUAAGCCCCGGCUAACUUCGUGCCAGCAGCCGCGGUAAUACGAAGGGGGCGAGCGUUGUUCGGAAUUACUGGGCGUAAAGGGCGCGUAGGCGGCCGAUCAAGUCAGAUGUGAAAGUCCUGGGCUCAACCUGGGGACUGCAUUUGAUACUGAUUGGCUUGAAUCCGGGAGAGGAUAGCGGAAUUCCCAGUGUAGAGGUGAAAUUCGUAGAUAUUGGGAAGAACACCAGUGGCGAAGGCGGCUAUCUGGACCGGCAUUGACGCUGAGGCGCGAAAGCGUGGGGAGCAAACAG
rnacentral:rRNA from 1 species